AAAGAUUAAGCCAUGCAUGUCUAAGUAUAAGCAAUUAUACCGUGAAACUGCGAAUGGCUCAUUAAAUCAGUUAUCGUUUAUUUGAUAGUACCUUACUACUUGGAUAACCGUGGUAAUUCUAGAGCUAAUACAUGCUGAAAACCCCAACUUCGGGAGGGGUGUAUUUAUUAGAUAAAAAACCAAUGCCCUUCGGGGCUCUUUGGUGAUUCAUGAUAACUUAACAGAUCGCAUGACCUUGCGCCGGCGACGGUUCAUUCAAAUUUCUGCCCUAUCAACUUUCGAUGGUAAGGUAUUGGCUUACCAUGGUUUCAACGGGUAACGGGGAAU
rnacentral:rRNA from 1 species